ensembl:snRNA U6 U6 spliceosomal RNA
GUACUUGUUUCAGCAAUGCAUAUACUAAAAUUGGGAUGAUUCAGAGAAGAUGGUCCCAGUCCCUGACCAAAAGAUGAUGGGCAAAUUAGUGGCAUGUUCUAUAUUUUU